rnacentral:tRNA from 1 species
AAGAUACUAGUAAAACGUUCAUAACACUGCCUUGUCAAGGCAGAAUUGUGGGUUAAACCCCCACGUAUCUUA